UACGAAGGGGGCUAGCGUUGCUCGGAUUUACUGGGCGUAAAGGGCUCGUAGGCGGCCAACUAAGUCGGAUGUGAAAUCCCCAGGCUCAACUUGGGAACUGCAUCCGAUACUGGAUGGCUUGAAUUCAGGAGAGGGAUGCAGAAUUCCAGGUGUAGCGGUGAAAUGCGUAGAUAUCUGGAGGAAUACCGGUGGCGAAGGCGGCAUCCUGGACCGACAUUGACGCUGAGGAGCGAAAGCUAGGGGAGCAAACGGG
rnacentral:rRNA from 1 species